rnacentral:sRNA from 1 species
AGCUAUUGAUCAGUGAGCGUGCUAAACGCAA